GCGUUCGUAGCUCAUCUGGAUAGAGCGACGGACUUCGAAUCCGUAGGUAGCAGGUUCGAGUCCUGCCGGACGCA
rnacentral:tRNA from 1 species